CUGGGGGCCAACUAAUGCAUUACCUGUGGCGAAAAUACUUUAGAACUGGGAUGUGCUUAACUCUCACAAAGGGACGUAGAAGAGGGUGGACCCUGACUAGGCUUAUGCCACAGAAGACCCUGAAUAUCCUUCCACUGUCAGAAAGGAUGGCAACCCAACAUUCUCUACGUUGGCUCUUGUUUGCAUUUUUCAGAGAUAUCAACCCCAGGGAUGGCCAGGAAGCAUCUCUGAGCUGAGGCUUUGUCCCCAGAGAGGCAAAAGGAAAAAGGGCAAAAAUAUAAAAUAAAGAUUAUAUAGAAG
rnacentral:lncRNA from 1 species